AGUUGAACUCGAGUUCACCUAAUAUUGGUGCCAUGACCGUUUCGGCAGCUACUAACUUCAUUUAUGGAUGGCUGUACUUUGUGAUUACCGGGGGAGCCGCGAGCGACUAGGUAGGACAGUUAUUUUCAGACCUAUAAAGUCUGGAAUAACCCGGCAGCCCGUGGGCCUCCCGGUCUCAUGCGCGAAAACAAAAACAAGAGUCCGGCCUUAAAAAGAGUGGAAGGGCUGGAACUCUCAUUAGAGGCAGCUUGUCCACAAACAAGGCACGUCUGCACCUUCAAGGACUGAAAAGGGGACACUUUGUGCUAAAGGGACUUUUGAACAGUUGCGGACAAAUUGUUAGGCCUGAAACACCCAUCAAGUGAGAAAUUAUGGAACCAACUUCAGAUCAUUUCAUCAGUAACGGUCGAGACAUGAAGUUUCAUUUUGCAAAACAAUUCAUCGUUGAAUUAUUGCCGGUUAUUGUCAUUUAAAAGGCAGUCAUUGCCCCCCAAAAAAAUGUUCUAAAAUAUUAUAUUUUGACACUUUUAUUCCCAAAAAGAUGCCUAUUCCAAUUUGGGAUCCAUAGAGUCCCUGUGACCGUGAAGAGGAUAAGCGGUGUUGAAAAUGGAUGUAUUGUGAAUGGAUUUUAAGUAUCUUGGUUUCUUGUUCACGAGUUAGGCCAGGAAGGACCAGAAGAUCAACAGGUCGUGAUGCGGACAUUGUAUCGUUCUGUCACGGUGCAGUUACCGGUCCAUCUACAUUCCCACCCUCAUCUACGGUCACGAGCUAUGGGUCACGACCAAAAGAACGAGAUCCCGGAUACAAGUCGGCGAACUGAGUUUCCUACACAGGCCUUAGAGACAAGCCUCCAAGACUCCGUUGUCAGUUCCAAAAUAAUGAUCCAGAGCAAACGUGGGCCGCGUGACAAAAGCCUGCAGCUCAAUCGACCGAGGUGUCAGAAUGGAGUCGCUUCAGAGCCAGUUUAACUACACCCUGCCCUCCCCCAUCAAAAGAUUUAACAGAAGGAAAUAAUUGGAGACUUUUGCAAUAGCCUGCCCACUGGAAGACCGGAGACUCUGAGAUACCUUCGACAGGACCACGGUGGCGACCUGGGACUCCUCGGCCUUCUCCAGGUGCUGCUGCCUAUCCCGGCUGACUUCGGGCAAACUACACCCUGAACUGGUCUUCAGCCAGUUGCAAGGUACAUAGAGAGGUAAGCGACCAUUCGCACCCUCAUCCACGCCGUCACUGAGAGGGAACCGACCCCACGCUGCCCUCACACAAGUCAGGCCCGAGUCCUGGACGAAAAGGAUGGAUAUGCACUAUG